AGAGUUUGAUCCUGGCUCAGAUUGAGCGCUGGCGGAAUGCUUUACACAUGCAAGUCGAACGGCAGCACGGACUUCGGUCUGGUGGCGAGUGGCGAACGGGUGAGUAACAUAUCGGAACGUAUCCAAUAAUGGGGGAUAACUAAUCGAAAGGUUGGCUAAUACCGCAUACGCCCUACGGGGGAAAGCUAGGGACCUUCGGGCCUGGCGUUAAUGGAGCGGCCGAUAUCUGAUUAGCUAGUUGGUGGGGUAAAGGCCCACCAAGGCGACGAUCAGUAGCUGGUCUGAGAGGACGACCAGCCACACUGGAACUGAGACACGGUCCAGACUCCUACGGGAGGCAGCGGUGGGGAAUUUUGGACAAUGGGCGCAAGCCUGAUCCAGCCAUUCCGCGUGAGUGAAGAAGGCCUUCGGGUUGUAAAGC
rnacentral:rRNA from 1 species